GACGAACGCUGGCGGCGUGCUUAACACAUGCAAGUCGUACGGUAAGGCCCUUUCGGGGGUACACGAGUGGCGAACGGGUGAGUAACACGUGAGUAACCUGCCCACAACUUUGGGAUAACGCUAGGAAACUGGUGCUAAUACUGGAUAUGUGCUCCUGCUGCAUGGUGGGGGUUGGAAAGCUCCGGCGGUUGUGGAUGGACUCGCGGCCUAUCAGCUUGUUGGUGGGGUAGUGGCCUACCAAGGCGGCGACGGGUAGCCGGCCUGAGAGGGUGACCGGCCACAUUGGGACUGAGAUACGGCCCAGACUCCUACGGGAGGCAGCAGUGGGGAAUAUUGCACAAUGGGCGCAAGCCUGAUGCAGCACCGCCGCGUGCGGGAUGACGGCCUUCGGGUUGUAAACCGCUUUCAGCAGGGACGAAGCUUUUUGUGACGGUACCUGCAGAAGAAGCACCGGCUAACUACGUG
rnacentral:rRNA from 1 species